GACGAACGCUGGCGGCGUGCUUAACACAUGCAAGUAGAACGGAAAGGCCCUGCUCUUGUGGGGUGCUCGAGUGGCGAACGGGUGAGUAACACGUGAGUAACCUGCCCUUGACUUUGGGAUAACUUCAGGAAACUGGGGCUAAUACAGGAUAGGAGCUCCGGCUGCAUGGGGGGGGUUGGAAAGUGUCGGCGGUUGGGGAUGGACUCGCGGAUUAUCAGCUUGUUGGUGGGGUAGUGGCUUACCAAGGCUUUGACGGGUAGCCGGCCUGGGAGGGUGACCGGCCACAGUCGGACUGAGAUACGGCCCAGACUCCUUCUGGAGGCAUCAGUGCGGAAUUGUGCACAAUGGGCGGAAGCCUGAUGCAGCAACGCCGCGUGGGGGAUGACGGCCGUCGGGUUGUAACCCGCUUUCGCCUGUGACGAAGCGUGAGUGACGGUAAUGGGUAAAGAAGCACCGGCUAACUACGUG
rnacentral:rRNA from 1 species